UCAGGUGACUAUAGCAUCAGGGUUCCACCUCUUCCCAUUCCGAACAGAGAAGUUAAGCCUGAUCACGCCGAUGGUACUGCG
rnacentral:rRNA from 1 species